rnacentral:rRNA from 1 species
UCCGGUUGAUCCUGCCGGAGGUCACCGCUAUCGGGAUUCGAUUUAGCCAUGCGAGCCGAGGGUGCUUUGCGCGCCCGGCAGAUGGCUCAGUAACACGUAGUCAACCUACCCUCAGGACGGAAAUAACCCCGGGAAACUGGGACUAAUAUCCGAUAGAAGAGAGGUACUGGAACGUCCUUUCUUCUAAACGCCCCGGCGCCUGAGGAUGGGACUGCGGUGGAUUAGGUUGUUGGGGGUGUAACGGACCUCCAAGCCGAUAAUCCAUACGGGCGUUGAGAGACGGAGCCCGGAGACGGACUCUGAGACACGAGUCCGGGCCCUACGGGGCGCAGCAGGCGCGAAACUUUUACAAUGCGUGAAAGCGCGAUAAAGGGAUCUCGAGCGUCUUGGCAUUGCCAAGGCUUUUCAUGAGUGUAAAAAGCUCUUGGAAUAAGGGGUGGGAAAAACGGGUGCCAGCCGCCGCGGUAAUACCCGUGCCCCAAGUGGUGACCAUGAUUAUUGGGCCUAAAGCGUCCGUAGCCGGCCGUAUGGGUCUUCGGUGAAAUCCUGCGCUAAAACGUAGGGCUUGCCGGGGAAACUAUUCGGCUUGGGACCGGGAGAGGCCGGGGCUACUCCUAGGGUAGCGGUAAAAUGCUGUAAUCCUAGGAGGAGCACCUGUGGCGAAAGCGCCCGGCUGGAACGGCUCCGACGGUGAGGGACGAAAGCCUGGGGAGCAAAGGGGAUUAGAUACCCCCGUAGUCCAGGCCGUUAACGAUGCCCGUUUGGUGUAGCGUCUCCUACGUGGAGACGCUGUGCCGUAGCGUAGGUGUUAAACGGGCCGCCUGGGGAGUACGUCCGCAAGGAUGAAACUUAAGGGAAUUGGCGGGGAAGCACCACAAGCGGUGGAGGCUGCGGUUUAAUUGGAUUCGACGCCAGGAACGUUACCAGCGCUGACAGCAUAAUGAGGGUCCGCUUGAAGAGCGUACCUGAAGCGCUGAGAGGUGUUGCAUGGCCAUCGUCAGCUCGUACCGUGAGGCGUCCGGUUAAGUCCGGUAACGAGCAAGACCCACGUCUCUAGUUGCUAUCGUGUCCUCCGGGACGCGAGCACUCUAGGGAGACCGCCUCCGACAAGGGGGAGGAAGGUGUGGGCGACGGUAGGUCUGUAUGGCCCGAAUGCGCUGGGCUACACGCGGCCUACAAUGGUCGGGACAGCGGGUUGCAACUCCGAAAGGAGGAGCUAAUCCCAAAACCCGGCCCUAGUUCGGAUCGAGGGCUGAAACCCGCCCUCGUGAAGCCGGAAUCGCUAGUAAGCGAAAGUCAUCAUCUUUCGCUGAAUACGUCCCUGCUUCUUACACACACCGCCCGUCAAGCCAUCCGAGUGGAGCCUUGAUGAGGCUUGAGAAAUCAUCUCAGGUCUAAUCAGGGCUCCGCAAGGAGGGCUAAGUCGUAACAAGGUAGCCGUAGGGGAACCUGCGGCUG